rnacentral:rRNA from 1 species
GUCUACGGCCAUACCACCCUGAAUGCGCCCGAUCUCGUCUGAUCUCGGAAGCUAAGCAGGGUCGGGCCUGUUUAGUACUUGGUAGGGAGACAGAGGGGACGGAUCUGCCCAGGCACUGUUGGAA